rnacentral:rRNA from 1 species
UACGAAGGGGGCUAGCGUUGCUCGGAAUCACUGGGCGUAAAGGGCGCGUAGGCGGCCAAGUAAGUUGGGGGUGAAAGCCCGUGGCUCAACCACGGAAUUGCCUUCGAUACUGCUUGGCUUGAGACCGGAAGAGGUGAGUGGAACUGCGAGUGUAGAGGUGAAAUUCGUAGAUAUUCGCAGGAACACCGGUGGCGAAGGCGGGUCUCUGGGCCGAUACUGACGCUGAGGAGCGAAAGCGUGGGGAGCGAACAGG